UGUAAUGGUAUUAUGUGCAUGGUGUUAAUGCAUCGGAUCCCAUUAGAACUCUGCAGUUAACCAUGCUAGGGCUAGAGUAGUAUUGGGAUGGGUGAUUGCCCGGGAAGUCCUAGUAUUUUACAU
rfam:Picea glauca, whole genome shotgun sequence.